rnacentral:rRNA from 1 species
GACGAACGCUGGCGGCGUGCUUAACACAUGCCAGUCGAACGGAAAGGCCCUGCUUUUGUGGGGUGCUCGAGUGGCGAACGGGUGAGUAACACGUGAGUAACCUGCCCUUGACUUUGGGAUAACUUCAGGAAACUGGGGCUAAUACCGGAUAGGAGCUCCUGCUGCAUGGUGGGGGUUGGAAAGUUUCGGCGGUUGGGGAUGGACUCGCGGCUUAUCAGCUUGUUGGUGGGGUAGUGGCUUACCAAGGCUUUGACGGGUAGCCGGCCUGAGAGGGUGACCGGCCACAUUAGGACUGAGAUACGGCCCAGACUCCUACGGGAGGCAGCAGUGGGGAAUAUUGCACAAUGGGCGGAAGCCUGAUGCAGCAACGCCGCGUGCGGGAUGACGGCCUUCGGGUUGUAAACCGCUUUCGCCUGUGACGAAGCGUGAGUGACGGUAAUGGGUAAAGAAGCACCGGCUAACUACGUG